UGCAGUGAGUGUCUUUAACCUUAACGCAUAGGGCCCAGAGAAUUAUUUUUUCCAGCUAAUUAGCCCUCUCUCUCUGGCCAAUGGCCAUUGAUUGACAACCGCGUGUUUGAUUCUUCUUCAAUAGAAAUAUGAGUCACACCACAAACCUCACUGCUAAAAAGUCACUCUCCAACAAAAAAAAAAAAAAGCACACGCACUGUGCACACAGUCCCUCUCAACAGUAACUUCUCUCUCUCUCAACGGUACGCAAUCACAUUCCCAGACGAAUCUCAUGCUUUACUGUUUAGCAACUAAAUAAAUCACAUUCUCAUAUAAAUCAUAAUCUCAUUUACCCACUAAACCACAGAAAAAGAAAAGUUAAAAAAGAAGACAAUGUAUACCAAAUAGGUUCAUUCAUUCCGUGAACCCCACCAACCAGAUUGUGCAACCAACACCGUCUCUCAGCACAGAUCCCCUAGGAGCACUUCCCCAUAUCCUGCGCCGCCCAACCCAGGAAAAAAAAAAACCCAAACUUGAUAAAUUUAUCGUUUUGUUUAGAAGCAGAAGAAAAGCUGCUUUUUUUUUUUUUCUUUUCUUGCUAGCUAGCCUAGCUUUGGUUCUUGUUCUUCUGUUUUUGUCGGCAUGGAGACCAACAAGCCACAGAAGAAAAAGAACUGGUUUUUACCAUUGGUGCUUUCUUUGUUGUUAUCUACUCUGCUCAUAUUUAUCACUGUUUUCACUUCUUCUAGAUCAUCUUCUUCAAGAUUGUACAAGACCCGUGUGAAGAAUGAGCUCCCGCAUUUUGUGGAGUCCAAGUUAAAGGUUUCAGCUACCUCCAAAGACCCAGUACCAAGACUGGCUUACUUGAUCUCUGGCUCAAUGGGCGACGGCGAGAGCUUGAAGAGGACCUUGAAGGCUCUGUACCAUCCCAGGAAUCAAUAUGCAGUGCAUUUGGACCUCGAGGCUUCGGCUGAGGAGAGGAUGGACUUGGCCAAGUUUGUCAAGAAUGAGCCGCUGUUUACCAAAUUGGGUAAUGUUAGAGCGGUUGUGAGGGCCAAUUUGGUAACUUACAGAGGCCCUACUAUGGUUACCAAUACACUUCACGCUGCGGCGAUUUUGUUGAAGGAAGGUGGAGAUUGGGAUUGGUUUAUCAAUUUGAGUGCUUCCGAUUAUCCUUUAGUGACCCAAGAUGAUCUGCUUCAUGUCUUGUCAUCCAUUCCAAGAAAUCUUAAUUUUAUUGAGCAUACCAGUGACAUUGGCUGGAAGGAGAAUCAGAGGGCAAAACCCGUUAUAAUUGAUCCAGGGCUGUAUAGCCUGCAAAAAUCAGAUGUAUUCUGGGUUUCAGAGAAAAGGAGCGUGCCAACUGCAUAUAAGUUGUUUACAGGUUCUGCUUGGAUGAUGCUCUCCCGCCCUUUUAUAGAGUAUAUUUUAUGGGGUUGGGACAACCUCCCAAGGAUAGUGCUUAUGUAUUAUGCCAACUUUCUUUCUUCACCAGAAGGGUAUUUCCACACUGUCAUCUGCAAUGCUGAGGAGUUUCGGAACACUACUGUGAACCAUGAUCUCCACUUCAUAUCAUGGGACACCCCGCCAAAACAACAUCCACAUUUCCUCGUCAGUGAUGACUUCCAGCGGAUGGUAGACAGCAAUGCUCCCUUCGCCAGGAAGUUUGGCAGGAAUGAGUCAGUUCUUGACAAGAUCGACUCUGAGCUUUUAGGCUGCAAUGCCGAUGGAUUUGUACCAGGUGGAUGGUUCGGUACUCAAGGAAAUGCAAAUGUAACUGUUCCAGAUUACAAUUUAAAAAACAUCACCACUUUUAGGCCGGGUCCAGGUGCUGAAAGGCUAAAACGUCUCAUCACUGGUUUGAUAUCUGCAGAGGAUUUUCACGCAAAGCAAUGCACCUGACUCCUGAGAGUCCAGAUAAACUACUAUGCUAAUUUUAGAAGUUAUACCAAGUAAGCAAUGCCGAUUAUUGAUCUUAGUUUAUAUUAAUAAUGGCCAAUAAGGCAUAUAGUAGGCUAUAGGAACUUAGUGGGGAAGAGAAGUUACUAGCUACCAUCAUAUAUAUGUGCAUUACCAUAUCUGGUAAUAUUCAGUACCAUAUUCUUCUAGUUCAAAAGCUGAAGGUGUACUUUAAUGUAUUAUUUAAUUUACAUAAUGAUAAGUGAUGUUGAAUCAUGCUUA